rnacentral:rRNA from 1 species
GACGGAGGGUGCUAGCGUUGUUCGGAAUGACUGGGCGUAAAGGGCGCGUAGGCGGCUCGUGAAGUCGGGUGUGAAAGCCCGGGGCUCAACCCCGGAACGGCAUCCGAUACUGGCGGGCUUGAGACCGGGAGAGGAGGGUGGAAUACCCAGUGUAGAGGUGAAAUUCGUAGAUAUUGGGUGGAACACCGGUGGCGAAAGCGGCUCUCUGGCCCGGUUCUGACGCUGAGGCGCGAAAGCGUGGGGAGCAAACAGG